rnacentral:rRNA from 1 species
UACGUAGGUGGCAAGCGUUGUCCGGAAUUAUUGGGCGUAAAGCGCGCGCAGGUGGUUCCUUAAGUCUGAUGUGAAAGCCCACGGCUCAACCGUGGAGGGUCAUUGGAAACUGGGGAACUUGAGUGCAGUAAGAGGAAAGUGGAAUUCCGAAGUGUAGCGGUGAAAAUGGCGUAGAGAUUUGGAGGAACACCGAGUGGCGAAGGGCGAACUUUCUGGUCUGCAACUGACACUGAGGCGCGAAAGCGUGGGGAGCAAAACAGGG